GACAGAGGGUGCAAACGUUGUUCGGAAUCAUUUGGGCGUAAAGCGCACGUAGGCGGUUCGUUAUGUCGGAUGUGAAGCCCUUGGCUUAACCGAGGAAGUGCAUCCGAAACUGGCGAGCUAGAGUAACGAAAGAGGAUGCGGAAUUCCCGGUGUAGAGGUGAAAUUCGUAGAUAUCGGGAGGAACACCGGUGGCGAAGGCGGAUCUCUGGGCCUUACCUGACGCUGAGGCGGCGAAAAGCUAGGGGAGCAAACAGG
rnacentral:rRNA from 1 species